rnacentral:rRNA from 1 species
CCUACGGGGGGCAGCAGUGAGGAAUAUUGGUCAAUGGGCGCGAGCCUGAACCAGCCAAGUAGCGUGAAGGAUGACUGCCCUACGGGUUGUAAACUUCUUUUAUAAGGGAAUAAAGUGCGGCACGUGUGCCUUUUUGUAUGUACUUUAUGAAUAAGGAUCGGCUAACUCCGUGCCAGCAGCCGCGGUAAUACGGAGGAUCCGAGCGUUAUCCGGAUUUAUUGGGUUUAAAGGGUGCGUAGAUGGGGUGUUAAGUCAGUUGUGAAAGUUUGCGGCUCAACCGUAAAAUUGCAAUUGAUACUGGCAGGCUUGAGUACGGUUGAGGUAGGCGGAAUUCGUGGUGUAGCGGUGAAAUGCUUAGAUAUCACGAAGAACUCCGAUUGCGAAGGCAGCCUACUAAGCUGCCACUGACGCUGAUGCACGAAAGCGUGGGUAUCAAACAGGAUUAGAUACCCUUGUAGUC